GCUCCUGUAGCUUAAUUGGUUAAAGCGCCCCGCUCAUAACGGGUCGAGUCGGGGUUCAAGUCCCUGCGGGAGCACCA
rnacentral:tRNA from 1 species